GAACAAAACAACCUCCGAGUGAUUUAAAUCCAGACUAACCAGUCAAAAUAUAUAAUCACUUAUUGAUCCAAACCAUUGAUCAACGGAACA
rnacentral:rRNA from 2 species